GGUGACAGGUGGUGCAUGGUUGUCGUCAGCUCGUGUCGUGCGCUGUUGGGUUAAGUCCCGCAACGAGCGCAACCCUUGUCUUUAGUUGCCUUCCUUAAGUUGGGCACUCUUGCGAGUCUGCCAGGGAUACCCUGGAGGAAGGUGGGGAUGACGUCAAAUCAUCAUGCCCCGUAUGCUUAGGGCUACACACGCGCUACAAUGGGUAGUACAGCGGGUUGCCAUGCCGUCAGUUGGAGCUAAUCCCUUACAGAUACUUUGAGUUUGGAUUGUUGGCUGCAACACGUCUACAUGAAGCAGGCGUUACUCGUAAUCGCUCCCCGGACUGCUGCGGUUUAUGCGUUCACNGCACUUUUAACACCCGCCCGUACCACUACCGCUGGCGGCAUCGCGCGAACCC
rnacentral:rRNA from 1 species